GACGAACGCUGGCGGCGUGCUUAACACAUGCAAGUCGAACGGAAAGGCCCUGCUUUUGUGGGGUGCUCGAGUGGCGAACGGGUGAGUAACACGUGAGUAACCUGCCCUUGACUUUGGGAUAACUUCAGGAAACUGGGGCUAAUACCGGAUAGGAGCUCCUGCUGCAUGGUGGGGGUUGGAAAGUUUCGGCGGUUGGGGAUGGACUCGCGGCUUAUCAGCUUGUUGGUGGGGUAGUGGCUUACCAAGGCUUUGACGGGUAGCCGGCCUGAGAGGGUGACCGGCCACAUGGGGACUGAGAUACGGCCCAGACUCCUACGGGAGGCAGCAGUGGAGAGUAUUGCACAAUGAGCGGAAGCCAGAGGCAGCAACGCCGCGUGCGGGAUGACGGCCUUCGGGUUGUAAACCGCUGUCGCCUGUGACGAAGCGUGAGUGACGGUAAUGGGUAAAGAAGCACCGGCUAACUACGUG
rnacentral:rRNA from 1 species